rnacentral:SRP_RNA from 1 species
GCCGGGUGCGGUGGCGUGUGCCUGUAAUCCAGUUACUUGGAGGCUGAGACUGGUGGAUCGUUUGAGCUCAGGAUCUCUGAGCUGCAGUGGACUAUGUCGAUGGGUGUCCCAAUAAGUUCGGUAUCGAUAUGGUGCUCCGGGGAGGCCGGGACCACCAGGUCGUCUAAGGAGGGGUGCACUGGCCCAGGUCGGAAACGGAGCAGGCCAAAGCCCCCGUGCCGCUCAGUAGUGGGAUCGGCCUGUGAAUAGAGGCUGUAGUGAAGCCUGAGUAAUACAGCAGACCCAGUCUUUU